rnacentral:rRNA from 1 species
AUUGAACGCUGGCGGCAUGCCUUACACAUGCAAGUCGAACGGCAGCACGGGUGCUUGCACCUGGUGGCGAGUGGCGAACGGGUGAGUAAUACAUCGGAACGUACCUUAUCGUGGGGGGAUAACGCAGCGAAAGCUGUGCUAAUACCGCAUACGCCCUGAGGGGGAAAGCGGGGGAUCGAAAGACCUCGCGCGAUUAGAGCGGCCGAUGCCUGAUUAGCUUGUUGGUGGGGUAAAAGCCCACCAAGGCGACGAUCAGUAGCUGGUCUGAGAGGACGAUCAGCCACACUGGGACUGAGACACGGCCCAGACUCCUACGGGAGGCAGCAGUGGGGAAUUUUGGACAAUGGGGGCAACCCUGAUCCAGCAAUGCCGCGUGAGUGAAGAAGGCCUUCGGGUUGUAAAGCUCUUUGUCUAGGAGAAAUCUUCUGAGUUAAUACCUC